GCUUCAGUAGUGCAGCGGUAAUAGCACGGGCUCUCGGAUAGAGUGAGAUGCUGGUUCAAGUCCUGCCUGACGCA